AUUGAACGCUGGCGGCAGGCCUAACACAUGCAAGUCGAACGAGUGGCGGACGGGGGAGUAAUGUCUGGGAAACUGCCCGAUGGAGGGGGAUAACUACUGGAAACGGUAGCUAAUACCGCAUACCAUCGGAUGUGCCCAGAUGGGAUGAGCGAGUAGGUGGGGUAACGGCUCACCUAGGCGACGAUCCCUAGCUGGUCUGAGAGGAUGACCGGCCACACUGGAACUGCGACACGGUCCAGACUCCUACGGGAGGCAGCAGUGGGGAAUAUUUCACAAGGGGCGCAAGCCUGAUGCAGCCAUGCCGCGUGUAUGAAGAAGGCCUUCGGGUUGGAAAGUACUUUCAGCGGGGAGGCGUUACCCGCAGAAGAAGCACCGGCUAACUCCGUGCCAGCAGCCGCGGUAAUUC
rnacentral:rRNA from 1 species